rnacentral:rRNA from 1 species
CCUACGGGUGGCAGCAGUGAGGAAUAUUGGUCAAUGGACGAGAGUCUGAACCAGCCAAGUAGCGUGAAGGAUGAAUGCCCUAUGGGUUGUAAACUUCUUUUAUAUGGGAAUAAAACGUUCCACGUGUGGGAUUUUGUAUAUACCAUAUGAAUAAGGAUCGGCUAACUCCGUGCCAGCAGCCGCGGUAAUACGGAGGAUCCGAGCGUUAUCCGGAUUUAUUGGGUUUAAAGGGAGCGUAGGUGGAUUGUUAAGUCAGUUGUGAAAGUUUGCGGCUCAACCGUAAAAUUGCAGUUGAAACUGGCAGUCUUGAGUACAGUAGAGGUGGGCGGAAUGCGUGGUGUAGCGGUGAAAUGCUUAGAUAUCACGAAGAACUCCGAUUGCGAAGGCAGUUCACUGGACUGCAACUGACACUGAGGCUCGAAAGUGUGGGUAUCAAACAGGAUUAGAUACCCUAGUAGUC